CUGGGAGGCAAGAAAGGUGGCAAGGGAUAAAUUGAAGAAGAAAGUCGCUACAUACAAAAUGGGACUUGUUGACAAACUCAAAGCUAAGCUCCAUGGCUAGGGACAUGUGCACAUAGGUGAGAAUGGAAGCAUUCGCUGCACUUGGUAAAAUUCAACGAGUUUCUGAGGGUGUUUUGCUACAAUCGCUAGAAAAGAAGGUCAUGAAAACUGACAGGAUGGGUGUUUCUAUCAUCAACGGGCAAAAAUUACCUCCUAAACUAAAAAUUCCCUGUGCUGCUGGGAUUUUUUUCCCAUGGAGUUGAAGAUGAAUUUACGAGGUGAGAAGAACUGCCUGCAAAUUAUUAGGAGCGCUGGCAAAGUUUUCUACUCAGUACACGGAGAAGGCCUUGGACUUGUUGAUGGACAUGAUGAAUGAU